rnacentral:sRNA from 1 species
UUGACAGAACUCGGUCUAGCGCAAUGCCAUGCGUCCGAGAAUGCCUGAAGAAACCACAUCGACGACGACGUGGCUAGGGAUACCUCUCCACGUCUUAGGUCUCUGCAUUGAGAGAUGCGGAGGCAGCAUCCUCAACAUGGGAUGUUCGAAUCGGGCAUGUGCUUCCCACAGAAGAAGAUAACGCUUGCAUCGUCCCUCGUUCCCACAAGACUCGAUAUAGAGCGCCUGUUUCAGGUCGUGUUCCUACUGGCGCGGCAAACAGCGGGCAAAUCAGCGCAAGGGAAUCCGCCGUGAUACUGGCGAAAGCCAGCUAUAAGAGGGAAUGCAGAACCAGUAGCCCAAGGCUUGUAAUUGGCACACGGCUUGAUCGCCGCAAAAAUACAAUGCUGAAUGGCGGGUGAACGUUGGGAGUCCCAAUCUCCCCAGGGGACAAAAGGGAUGAGAAGUUUCGGGGUCGCUCCCCGAGGCUCAGCCUCGUCUUUCCCUGUGGCGCAAUCAUCUGGAGCUGAAAGGGAAGUCUGGAGAAAUCUGCUGUUG